rnacentral:rRNA from 1 species
AUUGAACGCUGGCGGCAUGCCUUACACAUGCAAGUCGAACGGUAACGGGCCUUCGGGUGCCGACGAGUGGCGAACGGGUGAGUAAUGCAUCGGAACGUACCUUUCAGUGGGGGAUAACGUAGCGAAAGUUACGCUAAUAACGCAUAUUCUGUGAGCAGGAAAGCAGGGGAUCGCAAGACCUUGCCCUGCUUGAUCGGCCGGUGUCAGAUUAGCUAGUUGGUGUGGUAAAGGCUCACCAAGGAGACGAUCGGUAGCGGGUCUGAGAGGAUGAUCCGCCACACUGGAACUGAGACACGGUCCAGACUCCUACGGGAGGCAGCAGUGGGGAAUUUUGGACAAUGGGGGCAACCCUGAUCCAGCCAUGCCGCGUGAGUGAAGAAGGCCUUCGGGUUGUAAAGCUCUUUCGGUCGGGAAGAAAUCGCAUGGGUUAAUACCCUGUGCGGAUGACGGUACCGGCAUAAGAAGCACCGGCUAACUACGUGCCAGCCGCCGCGGUAAUAC